GUGAACGCUGGCGGUAGGCCUAACACAUGCAAGUCGAACGGCAGCACAGUAAGAGCUUGCUCUUGCGGGUGGCGAGUGGCGGACGGGUGAGGAAUACAUCGGAAUCUACUUUUUCGUGGGGGAUAACGUAGGGAAACUUACGCUAAUACCGCAUACGACCUACGGGUGAAAGCAGGGGAUCUUCGGACCUUGCGCGAUUGAAUGAGCCGAUGUCGGAUUAGCUAGUUGGCGGGGUAAAGGCCCACCAAGGCGACGAUCCGUAGCUGGUCUGAGAGGAUGAUCAGCCACACUGGAACUGAGACACGGUCCAGACUCCUACGGGAGGCAGCAGUGGGGAAUAUUGGACAAUGGGCGCAAGCCUGAUCCAGCCAUACCGCGUGGGUGAAGAAGGCCUUCGGGUUGUAAAGCCCUUUUGUUGGGAAAGAGAAGCAGCAGGUUAAUACCCCGCUGUUCUGACGGUACCCAAAGAAUAAGCACCGGCUAACUUCGUG
rnacentral:rRNA from 1 species